rnacentral:lncRNA from 1 species
GCAGUUUGCAGUUUGUGGAAGUUCUAUAACCUAACCAAAUGUUGUGGUUUUUUUUUUUUGAAUACUGAUUAAUCAUCAUAUUACUGCAUUACACAGAUAUUUACAACUGCUAUUAUAGCAGAUAUAUUACACUGAUAUUUACAAUCAGAAAUACAUGAUUGGGACUUAUAUUAUUACAUUGAAUUCUGUGAAGUACAUGCCCAGACAAAUAAUCCCUUACAGAAGAGGGAUGUCCAUACUGCACUGAUAUUUACAAUCAGAAAUACAUGAUUGGGACUUAUAUUAUUACAUUGAAUUCUGUGAAGUACAUGCCCAGACAAAUAAUCCCUUACAGAAGAGGAAUGUCCAUACUCCACUCAUAUUGCACGAGAGGGAUGUCCAUACUCCACUGAUAUUUAUAAUCAGAAAUACAUGAUUGGGACUUAUAUUAUUACAUUGAAUUCUGUGAAAUACAUGCCCAGACAAAUAAUCCCUUACAGAAGAGGAAUGUCCAUACUCCACUCAUAUUGCACGAGGGAGAGGAAAUUUUUGAAAUAUUAAAUAAAUAAGCAUGUUAGCCCCCACAAAUACUUUUGUGGAGGCUUGAAC